rnacentral:rRNA from 1 species
GACGAACGCUGGCGGCGUGCUUAACACAUGCAAGUCGAACGGAAAGGCCCUGCUUUUGUGGGGUGCUCGAGUGGCGAACGGGUGAGUAACACGUGAGUAACCUGCCCUUGACUUUGGGAUAACUUCAGGAAACUGGGGCUAAUACCGGAUAGGAGCUCCUGCUGCAUGGUGGGGGUUGGAAAGUUUCGGCGGUUGGGGAUGGACUCGCGGCUUAUCAGCUUGUUGGUGGGGUAGUGGCUUACCAAGGCUUUGACGGGUAGCCGGCCUGAGAGGGUGACCAGCCACAUUGGGACUGAGAUACGGCCCAGACUCCUACGGGAGGCAGCAGUGGGGAAUAUUGCACAAUGGGCGGAAGCCUGAUGCAGCAACGCCGCGUGCGGGAUGACGGCCUUCGGGUUGUAAACCGCUUUCGCCUGUGACGAAGCGUGAGUGACGGUAAUGGGUAAAGAAGCACCGGCUAACUACGUG